CCUACGGGUGGCAGCAGUGAGGAAUAUUGGUCAAUGGACGAGAGUCUGAACCAGCCAAGUAGCGUGAAGGAUGACUGCCCUAUGGGUUGUAAACUUCUUUUAUAUGGGAAUAAAACGUUCCACGUGUGGGAUUUUGUAUGUACCAUAUGAAUAAGGAUCGGCUAACUCCGUGCCAGCAGCCGCGGUAAUACGGAGGAUCCGAGCGUUAUCCGGAUUUAUUGGGUUUAAAGGGAGCGUAGGUGGAUUGUUAAGUCAGUUGUGAAAGUUUGCGGCUCAACCGUAAAAUUGCAGUUGAAACUGGCAGUCUUGAGUACAGUAGAGGUGGGCGGAAUUCGUGGUGUAGCGGUGAAAUGCUUAGAUAUCACGAAGAACUCCGAUUGCGAAGGCAGUUCACUGGACUGCAACUGACACUGAGGCUCGAAAGUGUGGGUAUCAAACAGGAGUAGAUACCCUUGUAGUC
rnacentral:rRNA from 1 species